AAAAUUCAGGGAAGUGGUGCCAUUCACUGACAAUGACAUCUUAACAGCCCCCAGCUGCUCAUUCCCAGCCUAUGCCCUCCUUUAGCUCUUGUAAAAUUGUUUAUGAAGCCAAGAACCUGGCUCCUGCCCUGCCAUACUCCCAAAAAAGAUCAGAUUAUUUUUAGCUUGAACUGACUCUCAAUCCUGGUUCAGUGCAGGGAUGACUGUGGUUAGAGGACAGCUGUUUGUGCCCUGCCAUCAGGGAGAUGGUCUUUUCCAGGCCCUGCAUUUUCCUCUUGCUUUUUAAGUGCAGAUGUCAUAAGGAGACCCAAGUGUGUUUGUGCACGUUCUGCAGGCAGGAGAGCAAGGGGAGCAGCUGAGGGCUGGCAUCCUGCCCUGCUGAGGGCAGGCAGCUGCAGCUGGUAAUCCCCUGGACUGCCACUGCAGGGCUUGAUAAAGCAGCUCUGGCAGAGCACAUCAGGCUCUUUGCUUGCUUUCCUACCACUCUAAAAGGUAACCAAGCCUUAAUAAGGCUUAAGUGUAAAGACGAAAUCUCUGCUGGUGCCAUGAGCACUUCAUUAUGCCCAAGAAAUGUAGCAACAUUUCUAUUUUGCACCACCAGCACAAUUCUUCAUUGAGCAGGAGGAAAAUUUUCUCAAAGUGGUUGGGCAAAAUCCCCGGAACUGGAACCAGAAAACACAGGACUAUGGGAAUAGUAAUCCACCUUCUAGGAUUCUGCAAAUGACACAAAGCUUGCAAAGACUCAACAAAGUCAAGGAUAAAGUCUCAGGAUUGGAAAAAAAGAAGACCAGAUUCAAAUUUUGAAGUGAACUUUCAAGGGCUUUGUGAGGGUAAUUUCUAGUGGUUUCUGGGGGGUUAAUAGUGUUUUUUAAAUGAACAAACUGUUUAGCUGAAGCUCAGACAGAGAGUGGAACAUGCAAAAAGAAAGUUUGGUGACCCAGUGUAUGUAAUACUGUAGUACCAAAAUGGGAACAGCCCCGUGAGACAUCAGCUUGAUUUUUGCUGCUGGCAUAUCCUCCUGUGAUAUGCCAGGAGGAAAAUGAAAAAAGAAGAAAAACUUCAAAAAACAUGGAACCACUCCCAUCACCUGAAGCUUAGACCACACACCUGAAAGGGAGUAACCCACUUCCAGCUCGGGUGCGCAGCCUAAGCAGCCUUAUCUCACUUUCAACUCAACCAUUUUGCACAUCUCAUAUAUAAAAUGCUUGUAAGGGAGGAAUUGACUAUUUAUUUCCUGUUUCUUUAAUAAUUACAGUAACCUUGUAAUUAUUAAAGAAACUGGAAAUAAAUAAUCAAUUUAUUUAAAGAAAUUGGAAAUAACCUGGUAUUAUAAACCUUCAUCAGUUGCAGCAUCUCACCAUGUCUGCUAUUUGGCUCCUAGUUGGUACAGUUUCUUUCACUUUCCACCUCCACUGGGGAAUACAUGCUCUACUAAGAGCAAAUAGCCUCCUAAACCAGCCCCGCCUGUUGCAGUUCUGUGUGCAAAGAAGCAGGAAAUGUGUGGGCAGUGAGAUUGGGAGCACAUUUGUGAC